GAUGAACGCUGGCGGCGUGCCUAAUACAUGCAAGUCGAGCGAACGGACGAGAAGCUUGCUUCUCUGAUGUUAGCGGCGGACGGGUGAGUAACACGUGGAUAACCUACCUAUAAGACUGGGAUAACUUCGGGAAACCGUAGCUAAUACCGGAUAAUAUUUUGAACCGCAUGGUUCAAAAGUGAAAGACGGUCUUGCUGUCACUUAUAGAUGGAUCCGCGCUGCAUUAGCUAGUUGGUAAGGUAACGGCUUACCAAGGCAACGAUGCAUAGCCGACCUGAGAGGGUGAUCGGCCACACUGGAACUGAGACACGGUCCAGACUCCUACGGGAGGCAGCAGUAGGGAAUCUUCCGCAAUGGGCGAAAGCCUGACGGAGCAACGCCGCGUGAGUGAUGAAGGUCUUCGGAUCGUAAAACUCUGCUAUUAGGGAAGAACAUAUGUGUAAGUAACUGUGCACAUCUUGACGGUACCUAAUCAGAAAGCCACGGCUAACUACGU
rnacentral:rRNA from 1 species